AGACUGGGCCAGGCGAGCUGCGACGCUGGCGAACCGGGCUCCCUGCGUCCUCCCACGACUCCGUCCACCUCAGGGCCUCUAUGAAGAGGAAUCGGUGCCACCCGUGCGGACCUCACAGCCGGAACCGUAAAGAUUCGGAGUCGCUUGCUCGCGGAGACUGACAGCCAGAAAGCGGGCCACGCUGACGCUACUUCCUGUUUUGCUUCCUGGGCGUCAGGGCGGACCUCCAUUUGUCAGGCUGCUCUGCGCCUCCCCUAAGAAGUCCGAGGCAUUGUAGUUUAGUCAUUCGCCAUAGGUCAAGAUCGCCUCCGUUAGGGAAGGCGAGGCCGAAGACCGCCUCAAGGAAACGGCCGUUAGGACACGGCCUGUGGCAGGGAUUCGCGUGGGACGGAGCUCAAGGGUAGAUGAGGCAGGUGAAGGGACCAGCGUGGAGUGGGCGUGCAGGGUACCACGCUGACAAAUGCCUCUCAAAGGCCUUUGCAUGCUGUUGAGACGGACGGCACAGACUGCCCUAGAACCUAACCCCGUACCCGAGAAAAACCUUGAUCAUCUGAUUCUCUUGCCUCCACAUUGCAAGUGUUGGGAUUCUACGCAAGCCAGCCACUACAUCGAAUUGAACAAAUCGAAGUCCCUAAAAUCACAGUUCUGUUGAUAAAUCUGGCAAUUCAUGAAAUGAUCCUCAUACACCCAGUCCAAUGUGUAGAUUACUUCUUACUUGAAUGCCCUAAGAAACUAGUUUGGUUUUCUUUACAUUUUCCUCUGUGUGUGUGUGUGUGUGUGUGUGUGGUGGAUCGGCAAGUGUUGUACCACUGAGUAUGUCCCCAGCCUUUUAUAUUUUCAACUACACACAAUUUUACUAUUUUAUUGUAUAAUUUUGUUUGGGGGUUUUGAGACACGAUCUCACAAUACAGUCUAGGCUGGCCUUAAAUUGCAUAUUUUCCUGAUUACAGGCCUGAGCAAAUUGUAUAGAAUUGUAAAAAUUUGUAGGUGUGAAGACAUGACCUCAGGGUUUUGUGGGUCCUAGACAAACACACUGUUAUUGAGCUAUACAUGUAGCUCUCAAUGAUAUAAUUUUGAGACAUUAAAACAAUGUACACUUUGGAUGUGGUGGCACUGGCCUUUCAUGCUAGCACUUGAUAAGCAGAGACAGGUGGGUCUCUGUGACUUCACGGCCAGGCAGUGCUACACUGUGAGAUCCUGUCUCCAAUAAGGGAGAUAUAUAUGGAGACCAGAAGGCAACCUGUGGGAACCUGUUCUCCUCUUUCACCUUGCUGGCUUUAGAAAUCCAACUGAGGUUGUCACUUGGUGGCAAGUACCUUGGCCCACUGAGCCAUCUCACCAGCCCUGUGAACAUAUUUUGUUUUCAAAUAUCAAUGUUUUUGUUUCUAGGUUCUUACCAAAUGAUUCAGCGCCUCCUGUAGCUUGUAAAAUGGCAUUGACAUCUGACAUUCUUUAUUUAUUAAUUAAAAACUACAGAUUUAUUC
rnacentral:lncRNA from 1 species